CCCAGCCUGCCAAAACUAACAAGCAAGGAAUCAUCGUGCUUGUUGCAGAGAAAGCAAAGUGGCUGCCCUGGUUCCUGGCCACAGUUGCACUACUCUCUUACCGUCCUACUCCUCUAGAAUCGCGAUUGUAUUUCCUGCCGGCUCCCGUUUGAUCUGAGGGCGAGCGAGCGUACAUGUCAGUGGAAUAAUGGGUUAGAUUGAUGCGCGUGGCUUCCUGUCCUCCUUGGUCUUCAACGGACGGGGAGGGAUUCUUCUUCUUCCACGGGAAACAGGAGGUGGCCAUAGGUGUUGAUCGAUCCAACGGAUUUAUGGGUUAGAUCGGCGUUCAUGCCUGUCUUUCCUGUUUACUGGUCUUCCACGACAAGAGGAAUUUUAUCAUGGACAAACGGAAACGGUUAAUCUCGCGGACGGUGACUACGAACUGGUGCCCGCGGACUCUCGAGUUGAUCAGGAGGUUAAUUUGAAUUGUGCUAACUUAUCUCAAGGCCUGGGCCAAGCACCAGAGGUUUUUCUGCCUGAUAGUGCCCAGGAAGGCAAGCCCCGGAGCAUAAUUCCACUAUUUUCCGAGUUAU